rnacentral:rRNA from 1 species
GACGAACGCUGGCGGCGUGCUUAACACAUGCAAGUCGAACGGAGCACCCUUGAUUGAGGUUUCGGCCAAAUGAUAGGAAUGCUUAGUGGCGGACUGGUGAGUAACGCGUGAGGAACCUGCCUUUCAGAGGGGGACAACAGUUGGAAACGACUGCUAAUACCGCAUGACGCAUUUUGAUCGCAUGGUCGAAAUGCCAAAGAUUUAUCGCUGAAAGAUGGCCUCGCGUCUGAUUAGCUAGUUGGUGAGGUAACGGCCCACCAAGGCGACGAUCAGUAGCCGGACUGAGAGGUUGACCGGCCACAUUGGGACUGAGAUACGGCCCAGACUCCUACGGGAGGCAGCAGUGGGGAAUAUUGGGCAAUGGGCGCAAGCCUGACCCAGCAACGCCGCGUGAAGGAAGAAGGCUUCGGGUUGUAAACUUCUUUUGUCGGGGACGAGUAGAAGACGGUACCUGGCGAAUAAGCCACGGCUAACUACGUGCCAGCAGCCGCGGU